rnacentral:lncRNA from 1 species
CCAGCACCCAGCCCCAGCACCGCCCGCCCCCUUGGAGCUGGGAAGAGGCUCCAGCGCCAUGGGCUGCUCCAGCAGCGCCCGCAGCCGGCCCCAGGAGCACCCCCCUGGCACCGGGGAGCCUCUGCGGGCAUCACCAGGUGAGAACACCCCCACCGCAGACGACUACGAGACCAUAGCUGACCAAACCCUGCUGGGCCCGGCGGAGGAGGUGAGUCUCGCCUCGGAGGAGACCAACCCGGGCGAGCGCCUGCCAGGGGACGAAGCUGCGGCUGUGAGCCCAGCCGAGGAGGAGAAGAUCGGUUCGGUCAGGGACAGGGAGGAGCCGGAGGGCAAGGAGCCGCUGCCUGCGGGGUCGGAGGAGAGCUCUGAGCUGCCGUCUGCGUGGCGAGAGGAGACCACAGGGCCUUCACCACCACCGGCGCCGGGAGAAGAUGCUGGGUCACUGCCACCAGGCCCGGCGGAGGACAGUGGGCUGGUAGAGGGCAGUGACAGCUCUGUAGUGGAAAUCCUCAACAAAGUGCAUGUUACUGAAGAGGACCACUUCAUUGAGGGUGAGACGGGAGAACAGGUGGAAACUGAGCUGCUCAGUGAGAUAGUAAGUGGAGGGCCUGAAACAAAAGAAGAAGAAACAGGAGAAGCUGUGGAUGGUGCAGCAGCAACAGAGAUAGAAACAGCUAAUAACAAGGAAUAG